rnacentral:rRNA from 1 species
GAUGAACGCUGGCGGCGUGCCUAAUACAUGCAAGUCGAGCGAACGGACGAGAAGCUUGCUUCUCUGAUGUUAGCGGCGGACGGGUGAGUAACACGUGGAUAACCUACCUAUAAGACUGGGAUAACUUCGGGAAACCGGAGCUAAUACCGGAUAAUAUUUUGAACCGCAUGGUUCAAAAGUGAAAGACGGUCUUGCUGUCACUUAUAGAUGGAUCCGCGCUGCAUUAGCUAGUUGGUAAGGUAACGGCUUACCAAGGCAACGAUGCAUAGCCGACCUGAGAGGGUGAUGGCCAACACGGAAAAUGAGAAACGUUCGAGCCUCCGAGGGGAGGAAGAAGUAGGGAAUCUUCCGCAAUGGGAGAAAGCCUGAGGGAGAAACGCGGCGUGAGGGAGGAAGGUCUUCGGAUCGUAAAAUUUUUUUAUUAGGGAAGAAAAUAUGUGUAAGAACGUGUGAAAUUCUUGAGGUUACCUAAUAGGAAGGCCGGGCAAAACAAGGAC